UACGGAGGGGGCUAGCGUUGUUCGGAAUUACUGGGCGUAAAGCGCACGUAGGCGGCUUUGUAAGUUAGAGGUGAAAGCCCGGGGCUCAACUCCGGAACUGCCUUUAAGACUGCAUCGCUUGAAUCAUGGAGAGGUUAGUGGAAUUCCGAGUGUAGAGGUGAAAUUCGUAGAUAUUCGGAAGAACACCAGUGGCGAAGGUGACUAACUGGACAUGUAUUGACGCUGAGGUGCGAAAGCGUGGGGAGCAAACAGG
rnacentral:rRNA from 1 species